ensembl:lncRNA
CUUAUUUAUGUGCUUAUUCAUUUCUGCUCUGUAUUUAUUUCUUUCAUUUUAUUAAUUCUAUGUCAAUGAGCACUUCAAAAUAAAAUUUAAUUUUUUUAAAUUUCAAGAAGAGUGUACAUAACUUUGUUUUUAUUUUUUUUUUGUAUUUUAUUGCUUUUUUUUUUUUUUUUUUUUUUUGUUGCCGCUUUACUUCUUAGUUUACUCUCAUUUUUUGUUCUUACUUUAUCCUUCUUUAACUAUUAACACACAUUAAAAAGCGUAAUACAGCUUCACUGAAUAAAAAUGCCUAUUGGUCAUGUAUUAAUAAAAUAAAAAAAAAAAAAAAAAAAAAAAAAAAAAAAGUCUCGAGCAAAAAUGAGUGAUUUUAUAGGCACCCCACUUACAGAUUUGAAUGUAACUGAAAUAAAAAACGAAUUUAUAAAAAAAAAAAGGAAACAUUAUGAUGAUUAUGAGUUUUACAUUUAUUACAAAAAUUUGUUAUUUCACGAAAAGAAAAAAAAAAUAAUAGAAAAAAAAAAAAGAAAAAAAAAAAUAAUUGAGCAAGCACCAAAAUUUAAGCCUUGUAAUUAUAUAUCAAGUAUUUAUAAAAAUGAAAAUGUUAUUAAAAAAAAUUUAUAUGAUUAUAUUGAUGAAGAUGAUAAUAUAUAUGAAGAUAUAAGUACCAAGGAUAUAUUAAGGUGUAAAGAAGACUAUGCGAAUAAUAAUAACAUUACUUUUACUUUUUUUAAUGAUACCAUUUCGUAUUCAUUGCUAAGAAAGCAUAAUUACAUUGACGGGGUUCCUAUUGGUGUUAAUGUUAAUAUAAAGAAAGAAGUAGAAGCACGCAUAUUAGACAAUAGUAAUAAUAGUAAUAAUAGUAAUAAUAGUAAUCAUAGUAAUAAUAGUAAUAAUAGUAAUAAUAGUAAAAAUAACAACAAUUACAGUAAUAAUAGUUAUAGCGUUUUAAAAAAAGGAAAAACAGGUUCCCCCCUCACAACAGCACCUUUAUCUUCAAAUUCAAAUUUUAACUCUAUUAGUUAUACACAAGAGUACAAUGAAGAAAAAGAAAAAAAAAAUUAUUUUUCGAAAUUAGGAUUACAGUUACCACAAAUAACUAAUAGAGAGCAUGUACAAGUAAAACAUGAAUCAGAUACAGUUGAAAAGGAUGUACAUACGUAUAAAAAUGAAAAUGACACAAAACAGAUUUGUGUUGAAAAGACGCAUACAAUAGGAAAUAAACAAAAAAUAGGUUCUCAAGUUCCAGAAAAUGUUGAAGAAAUAAGAAAAAUUAUUAUAAAAAAAACAGAUCUUACUAAUAAUUAUAAUAAUAAGCAAUAUGUUGGAAAUGAAAACAUAACUAUGUUAUCAUAUCGCAAUUACAUGAUUACAAUUAAAAUAAAAGAACAAAAGGAAUUAGAAGAACGAAUUAAAAAAAGAUAUAUACCUAAAACUAAUUUUGAUGGAGCAUUUUUUAUAAAUAAUAAAAAUAGUAUUGAACAAGUAAAAAAAAAAGAAUUAAAUUUAUUAAAAAAACAAACUGUUUCAAAUUAUCUAAACAAUAGUUCAGACGCAGAAUACUCAGAUAAUUUAGAUAAAAAUAAAAUAUGUAAUAAGCAUAUAUAUGACAAAAGCAUUUAUGAAUGUAAUUACUUAGACUCUUCCUACGGAAAUGUUUGUGACGCUGUGGGGGGUUGUCUAUUGUUCGAGGAUUUACCAUUGAAAGGUGUGGAGGUAAAAAUGGUAGGAAGUAAUUGUGUUCGCAAAAGUGUUAAAAGUGGUAGUAAUAGUAGUAACAGCAGCAGAAGUAGAAGUAGUAACAGCAUCAGCAGAAGUAGUAACAGCAGCAAACGUAGUAACA